rnacentral:lncRNA from 1 species
UUUUAUGGAGCUACACAUAUUGGUGGUUGUUUAGGGGAGUUAACGGGCUCUCAUAUUCAUCGCUUUUCAUGGAGAAGGUAUAUAUCCGGCAACCCUUAGACGUGAAGCCCAACUUUGGAAAGGUCUAGAACAAAAAUGAUGAUUUACAUGGGCUUCAAUGCCGGUUAUUGGACUUGGGUUUGACUUGAAUGAUGGCAAGAAGCUUGAAGUUUGUUGCUGAUGCGUAUGAAAGUCGAUAGAGUUUUAAAGAUUGAUGUUUUUUUUGUUUGAACUGUAUUUAGUCUUGAUUUUGGUUGUUUUCGUUUAUUUUUUGUUUGGAUUUUGAAUAGGUUUUAUGUUUGUAAUACUUGGGUUGUGUGUGGUCGCGAGUAGAGUUAGAAGUAGUAAUUGUUAUUUGUUAGAGUGGUUGGGGUAGGGGUUUGUUAAAACCCGUUCUGUAA